GACGAACGCUGGCGGCGCGCCUAACACAUGCAAGUCGAACGGAGCUGCGAGAAGCUUGCUUUUCUUAGCUUAGUGGCGAACGGGUGAGUAACGCGUGAGUAACCUGCCCUGGAGUGGGGGACAACAGUUGGAAAUGACUGCUAAUACCGCAUAAGCCCACGAUCCGGCAUCGGAUUGAGGGAAAAGGAUUUAUUCGCUUCAGGAUGGACUCGCGUCCAAUUAGCUAGUUGGUGAGGUAACGGCCCACCAAGGCGACGAUUGGUAGCCGGACUGAGAGGUUGAACGGCCACAUUGGGACUGAGACACGGCCCAGACUCCUACGGGAGGCAGCAGUGGGGGAUAUUGCACAAUGGGGGAAACCCUGAUGCAGCGACGCCGCGUGGAGGAAGAAGGUUUUCGGAUUGUAAACUCCUGUCGUUAGGGACGAUAAUGACGGUACCUAACAAGAAAGCACCGGCUAACUACGUG
rnacentral:rRNA from 1 species